GAGGAUGAUGAUUUCAAAUUUGUCGCCCCAGUCUUAGGGUCUGCCUAGGUGGAUCUGUGCUGAUUGACAUACUUCAGAAUCUGACUC